ensembl:misc_RNA
UUGAUCUUUUCUAGUUUACAAUCACUCACAGAGGGUGGGACAGGAGGAAGAGUGAAGGAAAAGGUCAA